UGACUAUAAUGUUUCUCGACUCUGAUCGAUUGCUUAGUAAUAACACUCACGCUCAGAGCGAGAAAAACUUUUCGAACAUAAUAUUAAUAACGACCACAAAAAAUUAUCACUUGCGCAAUAUGCUCAUCACUUAUCUAUUGUUUGCAUGAGACAACGCUGUGUCUACUCUUUCACUUAUUACGUUUAACUCAAAUCCUUCAUGGAACGUAUUGAUAUGAAACGGAGAGUGAAAAUAAAUUUCAAUGAUGCAAAAUGAAAACGAUGAUUGCUAGCCUUGCAACUGAUAAUAAAAUCAAUGAGCAAAACAACACAUUCUUCGCAUAGAUGCAUUUCUAUAGAUGACUUUUCAAUAUUUUAACAUACAUCAAUUCGAUGAUUCAUCAUAAUCAAUAUUCAUUAAACAUUUUCAAUAGUUGCCCCCACGAGAGUGAACAUUUCCACUAGUUCUAGUAGAUCUCGCAUGCGCACACCGAAUCCCUUACAACAAAUGUGACUUUUCUUAGGUGUGCCCCUGUGUUUGUGUGCCUCUAAGUAAACACAAGAUCAUUCAUAGGCAAAAGCUCGUCUUCCUUCCGUACUGCAUCUCCCUCGGUCGUAUUUCCACCACACAGAAACGAUUCGCUAAUUUUUCACCCAUGCGCGAUAUCGUCGCAUCAAUAUUUUUUUAGCUGGGCGAGUUCAGCCGACGAUCGCUCACUAAACCAACUAUUGUCACAAACUCGUGGAAAUAUCGCUGCUUGGGAAAAUAUCGGGCAGUGGGGGUCAAUGCGAAGAAUGACGUAUCCUUCGGGACGAACUGUCAGCAGAAAAUUUGCCUUGCCUCGCUCAGCCGGAGAUUAUCUUCAGUUUGACUUUGACUUUCGCGGGGAAUGAAAAUCGAUUCGGGCAGAAACGCAAACUAUUCGCGCUGACGGUGAUCUCUGGUGGUUUCCGAAGAACGCAAUAACUUUGGCCCGCACAUAUCGUACCUACGCACUACGUCCGCUUCCUCCGGUAGGAAAUCGUUUCCCGAAUUAAAAUGACCAACGAAAAGGAAAAACAGGGCAGGUGUGAUAAUUGUAGCAAUUGGUGUAAUGUCUGUAAUCACUACUGCCUAAAUGGAAGCGAAAGUAGACCGUCAAACAUCGGUGGCAGUAGUGCACAAAAUCGUCGCAAUGUCAACAGUAUAAACGGUAUCUCUAGUAGCAGCAGCAGCAGUAGUAGUAGUAGUAGUAGUAGCAGCAGCAUUUCCUGUAGCUGUCCGUGCAAUCGGAAGACAAUCGGAGGUGGCGCUUCGAAGUGUGUUAUGUGAAUCCACACUUCGAGAAAAUUAGUAAUCGCAGGAACAGACCUCCCCACUAUGGCUUAUCGGGCCGCCAGCGAGGCGGUCGUGAGCCAUGGCCAACGUU